UUACGGUCAUAUCAUGUUGAAACACCGGUUCCCGUACGAUCUCCGAAGUUAAGCAACGUUGAGUUUGGUUAGUACUUAGAUGGAUGACCAUUUGGGAAUACCAAGUGAUGUAAU